AGUGAACGCUGGCGGUAGGCCUAACACAUGCAAGUCGAACGGCAGCACAGUAAGAGCUUGCUCUUACGGGUGGCGGGUGGCGGACGGGUGCGGAAUACAUCGGAAUCUACUUUUUCGUGGGGGAUAACGUAGGGAAACUUACGCUAAUACCGCAUACGACCUACGGGUGAAAGCAGGGGAUCUUCGGACCUUGCGCGAUUGAAUGAGCCGAUGUCGGAUUAGCUAGUUGGCGGGGUAAAGGCCCACCAAGGCGACGAUCCGUAGCUGGUAUGAGAGGAUGAUCGGCCACACUGGAACUGAGACACGGUCCAGACUCCUACGGGAGGCGGGAGUGGGGAAUAUUGGACAAUGGGCGCAAGGCGGAUCCAGCCAUAGCGCGUGGGUGAAGCAGGCCUGCAGGUUGGGAAGCCCUUUUGUUGGGAGAGAAAAGCAGCAGGUGAGGACCGCGCUGUUCUGACGGUACCCAAAGAAAGAGGACAGGCUAACUUCGGG
rnacentral:rRNA from 1 species